rnacentral:lncRNA from 1 species
CCCCCCCCCCCCCCCCCCCCCCCCCCCCCCCCCCCCCCCCCCCCCCCCCCCCCCCCCCCCCCCCCCCCCCCCCCCCCCCCCCCCCCGGUGUGGGCGGCCGGCCCGAGGUCAUCCUGGAGGGCAGCUACGACGGGCACAGCUGGACGGUGAGUCCGGGCUGGGCACGGGUGGGCACGGCUGGGCGGUGAGUCUGGGCUGGGCACGGGUGGGCGGUGAGUCGGGGCUGGGCACUGAGGGAUGACCUCCCCCCCCCCCCCCCCCCCCCCCCCCCCCCCCCCCCCCCCCCCCCCCCCCCCCCAGCUGGACGGUGAGUCGGGGCUGGGCACAGGUGGGCAUGGCUGGACAGCGAGUCUGGGGUGGGCACAGCUGGGCGGUGAGUCCGGGCUGGGCACGGCUGGACACAGCUGGGCACAGCUGGACGGUGAGUCGGGGCUGGGCACUGAGGGAUGGGCACAGCUGGGCACAGCUGGGCUGUGAGUCUGGGCUGGGCACGGCUGGGCUGUGAGUCUGGGCUGGGCACGGCUGGGCUGUGAGUCUGGGCUGAGCACAGCUGGGCGGUGAGUCGGGGCUGGGCACUGAGGGAUGGGCACAGCUGGGCGCAGGAAUCUGGUGUCCUGCCCCAGAAUCCCGGGAUUUCGGGCGGGAACAUCCUUUUCCUGGCACUCUGAUCCCCCUGGGCAGGAGCAGGCCCAGGUGGGAUUGGGUUCUGGAGGUGUCCCUGCCCCAGAAUGCCACAGUUUUGGCUGGGAAGGGACUUCCCACCCCUGCGGUGUCACACGCAGCAUUUCCCAGGGUUCAUCCCCCCUUGCACCCCAGGGACAGCCCUGGGCUGAGCCAGGGCCCCAUUUCCCCCCCAGCCAUUCCCAGUCCCAUCCUGUACAAACACCAUGGGCUGUGCUGGGGUCCCCAUUUCCCCCCCAGCCAUUCCCAGUCCCAUCCUGUACAAACACCAUGGGCUGUGCUGGGGUCCCCAUUUCCCCCCCAGCCAUUCCCAGUCCCAUCCUGUACAAACACCAUGGGCUGUGCUGGGGUCCCCAUUUCCCCCCCAGCCAUUCCCAGUCCCAUCCUGUACAAACACCAUGGGCUGUGCUGGGGUCCCCAUUUCCCCCCCAGCCAUUCCCAGUCCCAUCCUGUACAAACACCAUGGGCUGUGCUGGGGUCCCCAUUUCCCCCCCAGCCAUUCCCAGUCCCAUCCUGUACAAACACCAUGGGCUGUGCUGGGGUCCCCAUUUCCCCCCCAGCCAUUCCCAGUCCCAUCCUGUACAAACACCAUGGGCUGUGCUGGGGUCCCCAUUUCCCCCCCAGCCAUUCCCAGUCCCAUCCUGUACAAACACCAUGGGCUGUGCUGGGGUCCCCAUUUCCCCCCCAGCCAUUCCCAGUCCCAUCCUGUACAAACACCAUGGGCUGUGCUGGGGUCCCCAUUUCCCCCCCAGCCAUUCCCAGUCCCAUCCUGUACAAACACCAUGGGCUGUGCUGGGGUCCCCAUUUCCCCCCCAGCCAUUCCCAGUCCCAUCCUGUACAAACACCAUGGGCUGUGCUGGGGUCCCCAUUUCCCCCCCAGCCAUUCCCAGUCCCAUCCUGUACAAACACCAUGGGCUGUGCUGGGGUCCCCAUUUCCCCCCCAGCCAUUCCCAGUCCCAUCCUGUACAAACACCAUGGGCUGUGCUGGGGUCCCCAUUUCCCCCCCAGCCAUUCCCAGUCCCAUCCUGUACAAACACCAUGGGCUGUGCUGGGGUCCCCAUUUCCCCCCCAGCCAUUCCCAGUCCCAUCCUGUACAAACACCAUGGGCUGUGCUGGGGUCCCCAUUUCCCCCCCAGCCAUUCCCAGUCCCAUCCUGUACAAACACCAUGGGCUGUGCUGGGGUCCCCAUUUCCCCCCCAGCCAUUCCCAGUCCCAUCCUGUACAAACACCAUGGGCUGUGCUGGGGUCCCCAUUUCCCCCCCAGCCAUUCCCAGUCCCAUCCUGUACAAACACCAUGGGCUGUGCUGGGGUCCCCAUUUCCCCCCCAGCCAUUCCCAGUCCCAUCCUGUACAAACACCAUGGGCUGUGCUGGGGUCCCCAUUUCCCCCCCAGCCAUUCCCAGUCCCAUCCUGUACAAACACCAUGGGCUGUGCUGGGGUCCCCAUUUCCCCCCCAGCCAUUCCCAGUCCCAUCCUGUACAAACACCAUGGGCUGUGCUGGGGUCCCCAUUUCCCCCCCAGCCAUUCCCAGUCCCAUCCUGUACAAACACCAUGGGCUGUGCUGGGGUCCCCAUUUCCCCCCCAGCCAUUCCCAGUCCCAUCCUGUACAAACACCAUGGGCUGUGCUGGGGUCCCCAUUUCCCCCCCAGCCAUUCCCAGUCCCAUCCUGUACAAACACCAUGGGCUGUGCUGGGGUCCCCAUUUCCCCCCCAGCCAUUCCCAGUCCCAUCCUGUACAAACACCAUGGGCUGUGCUGGGGUCCCCAUUUCCCCCCCAGCCAUUCCCAGUCCCAUCCUGUACAAACACCAUGGGCUGUGCUGGGGUCCCCAUUUCCCCCCCAGCCAUUCCCAGUCCCAUCCUGUACAAACACCAUGGGCUGUGCUGGGGUCCCCAUUUCCCCCCCAGCCAUUCCCAGUCCCAUCCUGUACAAACACCAUGGGCUGUGCUGGGGUCCCCAUUUCCCCCCCAGCCAUUCCCAGUCCCAUCCUGUACAAACACCAUGGGCUGUGCUGGGGUCCCCAUUUCCCCCCCAGCCAUUCCCAGUCCCAUCCUGUACAAACACCAUGGGCUGUGCUGGGGUCCCCAUUUCGUCCUGGUUUGGGUUUGGGGUGUCCCUGUCUGGGUUUGGGGUGUCCCUCUCUGGGUUUGGGGUGUCCCUGUCUGGGUUUGGGGUGUCCCUCUCUGGGUUUGGGUGUCCCUGUUUAGGUUUGAGGUGUCCCUGUUUGGGUUUGGAGUGUCCUGGUUUGGGUUUGAGGUGUCCUGGUUUGGGUUUGGGGUGUCCCUCUCUGGGUUUGGAGUGUCCCUCUCUGGGUUUGGGGUGUCCCUGUCUGGGUUUGGGGUGUCCCUCUCUGGGUUUGGGUGUCCCUCUCUGGGUUUGGAGUGUCCCUCUCUGGGUUUGGGUGUCCCUCUCUGGGUUUGGGGUGUCCCUCUCUGGGUUUGGGGUGUCCCUGCAGCUCUGGGGGCUGUCUCUGGGUUGAUUCGGGGUGUCCCUGUCUGUUCUGGGGUACAUUUGGGGUGUCCCCGGUGUGCUGGGGGCGCCUUUGCUGACCCCGUGUCCCGCAGUGAUCCGCCUGGUGCAGGCAGACCCCGCCCGGUACCCGUUCCAGGGCCGGCCCCCCGCCUUCCUGCGGGCCCGGCUCUACAAGUACCGAUUCACCGGCCCCGGGGAGGCCAGGUCAGCGGGGGGGGCCUGGGGGCCACGGGGAGGGCCCCCCCCCCCCCCCCCCCCCCCCCCCCCCCCCCCCCCCCCCCCCCCCCCCCCCCCCC